AGAAAAUAAAACCGAAUGACAUUUUUGACAAUGACAGUUGUAAAAUGAAAGCAAUUUGUCAGAUUUUGUGAUUUUCUUAAAGUCGUGUGUGUUUUCGAGUGAUUUUAUGUAAUGAAUGGAUCGGUGUCGUUGUCCCGAAUAUGCUGCUGCUGUUAAAAAACUGAGGUUCUACACCCCUGGUACUUUUAGGCCAGAUAUAAUUGAUAACUAUGACAGAGGUGACUACGAUGUGGUUUGGAUUCGUAAGCCAGUAACCUACGGUGAUGCCACCAUGUAUAAACCACAAGCCUACAAGAAACGAGCAGACGGACUGACACAAGAAGAAAUUUUAAAGAUUCGCAAUAAGAAAUUAGAACAUAUGUGGUGUCCCUAUAUGUUGUCGAAAAAGAAGUAAAAGGCAAAAUGUAACAAAUUUUCUAUCUGUUUAGGUUUAAAUUUCACUGGCGAAAUUUGUGAGAUAUACGACUUUUUGAGAAUUAUCAAUUUACUUUAAAUCUUUUGUGAAGUAAACUGUUUUAUUUAAUUGAA